rnacentral:lncRNA from 1 species
CAAGAAGGUCUGAUAUUUAUUUACAAAAUAGCCAAAGCUGAGAAACACAAGAAAUCUUAAACACACAUAAACACACACACACACGCUUUUGAACAAUUCCCUCCUCUGGGAGAAUCAACUUCAGACAAUUAACUCUAGUCUGUGCUCUGUUGUUUGGACUGCUCAGUGCUAAUUGUUUUCCUCUUGUGCCUGAAAAUGUUAGUAAUAUGAAAUGACACUGCAAUGUUACGUGCUUGAUGGGGAUCUUUUUAUCAAAAGGCAUUUUAUCAAGUCUUGUGCUGGUAGAGGGUAUAAGACGUCCUUAGAAAUAAUAAAUCAUGACCACAACAAUUUAUCUGUAGCUGCUAAUUUUAUUGAGCAGAGAAAAAAUACCCAGAAUAUGUAUGUGUAUGUGUAUUUAUCUAGACAUGAUACAAAUGUAUGUUUUCAACAUCCCUAUGAGUCUGAUCUUUUAGGUAACAUCUGUUCACUUUCAAAUAUCCACUGAAAGUUUGGGGCCAUUAAUUAAGUCGACUGUUAGGAAGAGUGGACAGAAUGAUGUCAAAGAUUCUCAGAAUCCUGUCCCUCGAAGCUCAGUCUUACCAGGCUCCAGCAUGGAAAACUUGGAACAAACCAGUAGAGAGUCUGUAUUGAAGAAUUAAGUUGAAUUUUAAACCUGUUACAGGCUGGGUUUUGCAUAGAAUACUCCCGUGCCCAUUCAUGUCUGGGGAACUGAUCAUUUCUGUUGAGUGGUAAUUCUCGGCUUUGAGGGUCGUCUUCUGGUUGGUGAUGAGGGGGUCUGGAGAGCAGUUUUCAGAGCCAUGUCUCGUGUUCAACGUGCUUUGUGCUUUAGGAGAGCUCGGAAGUCAGACACACCACCCUCUGCUUUGAUCUGUGCUGCGUCUGUGGCAUCAUUUUUUAGAGCAUCAAUAAGAGUACUUGUCUAGUUCAGAAACCUCUUCUUUCCUCUCAUCCAAAGAAAAUACAUGAUUUACCAUACUUUCAUUCCAACUGUUUCAAAACCCUGGAACUGACAGUUUUUGCCCAACACGAUUAACUAUUCCAAAAUACGAUGGCAUCAAUAUCAUUCUUGACUUUUUGAAGGAAUAUAAAUCUUAGAAACAUUUUCCUUCUCCGAACAGGCUAUCAUCCUCAGCCCUGCCUUCCUGAGGUCUGUCCCCACAUUCCAGAUGGACAGACAGCCACCCAGGUGUCAGAAUUGGCUUGUAUGUUAUUAUCCACUCUUCCUGCUCAUCAAAAUGAGUCCACGAGUGGAAAGACAAAACCCACCAA